rnacentral:lncRNA from 1 species
CUACGAUUUGCUUCUUCAACAGUGGUUCGGACCUUGCGAGGAGACGCCAUAACAUGUAUUGAAGUAAAC